rnacentral:misc_RNA from 1 species
UGACUUUACAUGGGUAACAAUUAUUUGAUAAAGGUAAUUAAUAAAAGAAAAAAAUUAUUACUUUUAAUAGUUAUGGCAUUAAAAAUUUUUUUAUUACUUUGAAUAGUUGUGGCAUUUAAAAUGGCUGAUAAACUGGAGGCAUAGGUUUGAAAUCUCGUUGAGAGUGUAGUUGGACAGUUUUACCGGAUGGAGGAGAGCUGCUGAUGUAGAACCAAUAGGUAUUA